GAUGAACGCUGGCGGCGUGCCUAAUACAUGCAAGUCGAGCGAACGGACGAGAAGCUUGCUUCUCUGAUGUUAGCGGCGGACGGGUGAGUAACACGUGGAUAACCUACCUAUAAGACUGGGAUAACUUCGGGAAACCGGAGCUAAUACCGGAUGAUAUUUUGAACCGCAUGGUUCAAAAGUGAAAGACGGUCUUGCUGUCACUUAUAGAUGGAUCCGCGCUGCAUUAGCUAGUUGGUAAGGUAAUGGCUUACCAAGGCAACGAUGCAUAGCCGACCUGAGAGGGUGAUCGGCCACAGUGGAACUGAGACACGGUCCAGACUCCUACGGGAGGCAGCAGUAGGGAAUCUGCCGCAAUGGGCGAAAGCCUGACGGAGCAACGCCGCGUGAGUGAUGAAGGUCUUCGGAUCGUAAAACUCUGUUAUUAGGGAAGAACAUAUGUGUAAGUAACUGUGCACAUCUUGACGGUACCUAAUCAGAAAGCCACGGCUAACUACGUG
rnacentral:rRNA from 1 species